rnacentral:rRNA from 1 species
GUCUUUUCGUUUAUUUGGAAAGUCUGGCCUGCCCAGUGAUUUAUUUAACGGCCGCGGUAUAUUGACCGUGCAAAGGUAGCAUAAUCAUUAGUCUUUUAAUAGGAGGCUGGAAUGAAAGGUUUAAUGAAAUACAAUCUGUCUCAUAUUAUAUAUUUAAAAUUUAACUUUUAAGUUAAAAGGCUUAAAUUUGAUUGAUGGACGAGAAGACCCUAUAGAGCUUUACAUUAACUUAUUUUAAUUUUAUAUUGCCUAUAUGAUUUUUUAUUAUUAUAGUUAUUGUUUUGUUGGGGUGACAAAUAUAUAUAUUAAACUUUUAUUAUUUUAUAUACAUUAAUUUGUGUUUAUUGGAUCCAUUAUUAAUGAUCAUUAGAUUAAGUUACCUUAGGGAUAACAGCGUAAUCUUCUUUCAGAGUUCAAAUUUACAAGAAGGCUUGCGACCUCGAUGUUGGAUUAAGAUUAUAAUUAGGUGCAGUAGCUUAAUUAAUAGGUCUGUUCGACCUUUAAAUUCUUACAUGAUCUGAGUUCAGACCGG